rnacentral:tRNA from 1 species
GAGUAAAUAAUAAAAUUUUAUUUUGAAAAUAGAAUAUGAAAUAUUAAAUUAUUUCUUUACUUU